rnacentral:rRNA from 1 species
UGGGGAAUCUUGGACAAUGGGGGCAACCCUGAUCCAGCCAUGCCGCGUGAGUGAUGAAGGCCUUAGGGUCGUAAAGCUCUUUCGCCUGUGAAGAUAAUGACGGUAGCAGGUAAAGAAACCCCGGCUAACUCCGUGCCAGCAGCCGCGGUAAUACGGAGGGGGUUAGCGUUGUUCGGAAUUACUGGGCGUAAAGCGCACGUAGGCGGAUCGGAAAGUUGGGGGUGAAAUCCCGGGGGCUCAACCCCGGAACUGCCUCCAAAACUAUCGGUCUAGAGUUCGAGAGAGGUGAGUGGAAUUCCGAGUGUAGAGGUGAAAUUCGUAGAUAUUCGGAGGAACACCAGUGGCGAAGGCGGCUCACUGGCUCGAUACUGACGCUGAGGUGCGAAAGUGUGGGGAAGCAAA